UACGGGGGGGGCAAGCGUUGUUCGGAAUUACUGGGCGUAAAGGGCUCGUAGGUGGCCAACUAAGUCAGACGUGAAAUCCCUCGGCUUAACCGGGGAACUGCGUCUGAUACUGGAUGGCUUGAGAUUGGGAGAGGGAUGCGGAAUUGCAGGUGUAGCGGUGGAAUGCGUAGAGAUCUGCAAGAAUACCCGUGGCGAAGGCGGCCAGUUGGGCCGGUUCUGACGCUGAGGCGCGAGAGCGUGGGGAGCAAACAGG
rnacentral:rRNA from 1 species